rnacentral:rRNA from 1 species
GACGAACGCUGGCGGCGUGCUUAACACAUGCAAGUCGAACGAAGAGCGAUGGAAGCUUGCUUCUAUCAAUCUUAGUGGCGCACGGGUGAGUAACGCGUAAUCAACCUGCCCUUCAGAGGGGGACAACAGUUGGAAACGACUGCUAAUACCGCAUACGAUCUAAUCUCGGCAUCGAGGAUAGAUGAAAGGUGGCCUCUACAUGUAAGCUAUCACUGAAGGAGGGGAUUGCGUCUGAUUAGCUAGUUGGAGGGGUAACGGCCCACCAAGGCGAUGAUCAGUAGACGGUCUGAGAGGAUGAACGGCCACAUUGGGACUGAGAAACGGCCCAGACUCCUACGGGAGGCAGCAGUGGGGAAUCUUCCGCAAUGGACGAAAGUCUGACGGAGCAACGCCGCGUGAGUGAGGACGGCCGUCGGGUUGUAAAGCUCUGUUAAUCGGGACGAAAGGCCUUCUUGCGAAUAGUGAGAAGGAUUGACGGUACCGGAAUAGAAAGCCACGGCUAACUACGUG